UAGCAGUUAGUUUAACAAAAACAAAUGAUUUCGACUCAUUAGAUUAUGAUAAUUACAUAACUGCUAA
rnacentral:tRNA from 1 species